CUGGAGGCGAAGUGGCUUAGGUGUGGAGAGCUAGCUGUGGAUGGCCAGGUCAGAGGCGGCCUCUGAAGAGCUGCCCAAGCAGAAAGCUGCAGCUUGGGGAUAAGCCUCCCUGAGGCUACAGAAGCAAAGCCCAGAGAUGGGAGUCGGGGAGACAGAGCCUCCUCAUGAUGUCACGAUGUCACCUGAGCUCCUGGGUCCAGCUUGUUUCAUGAGCUGAGACUAAUGAUUGUAACUGUUCGGGCACGGUGAGGCAAGAGGAACGUACAGUUACAGAAUCCGUGGGCAAAGCAUCUCGGGGCCAGGAGCGAGCCUGAAGGCACUGUGUAGGCCUUGAUCAGUUUAGCAAUUUCUACGAUUCUGACAUCCUCUUUCUGUUCUUUCCGGACUCAGGCAUCCAAGGUCACCUCAUUAUGGCUCUGUGCGAAGACAGCACCCCAAAGGGGCCAUCGAUUUGGAACAUCUGAUCGGCUUUCUGAGUCAGAUCCACUAGCUCGUAAAAUCCAAUAAAUGUCAAAGAUAUGUCAGGCCCAUUAACCUCUGGAGGUCUAUUAAAAGACUCUGCUUCUGCUAAGGAGAUUCUGUUACUGUCACAUGGACACCAGGGCAGCCAAUUCUAAACCCCUGAAUUUAGAAAGUUAGGAAGGGGAUAUGAUUUCACAUGGGAUCGCCUGGUCUCUACUAGUUUUGUCAUAAGACUCUGCCUUUUCUUCCACUCAUACACACAGAGCAUCUGUUGGUGUGACCAGCUCUGUGAUAGGUAUGUGGGGGAAACAUUCUAGAACUUCUUUUCCUGCAUCCAAGAAAAUUAACCCAAAUGCUUUCUUCAUAAAACUGCACGCACAUUUCUUCCUUACAGUCCUUACAACAUUGAAGCAUUAUUGUUUGCUUGCACGUGAGUCCCCUCUACUAGAUUAUGAGUUCCUUAAGAGCUGGGGGUCAUGAUUCCUUUUGGUAAGAAGCAAGGGAAACCUUAACCUAAAUUACUCCAGGAAAAAACAAACCUGCUUGACACAUAGAACCAAAAAGUCCAAAGGCAAAGUCCAGGAACAGUUGGAUUCAGAGGCCCCAAAGGUGUUCUCAGGAGUCUCACCUCCAUCUUGUGGCUCUGCAUUCCUCUGCGUUGGUUUCAUCUGCAGGCAAGCCCUCCCCAGCCAUGGCAAGAUGGGCUCUGGUAGAUCCCACAUGAUGGCAAGCCUGCCUUCAGCAGCUCCAGGCAUCCUGCUGCCAGCCUAACACCCCUGUGAGAAAGAACUUUUAUUUCCCAAUAGGGCCAGUGGAUCUCCCAAGCUAAUUCUUGCUGGCCCAGCGUGGGUCCAGGUGCUAGUUCCAGGGCAUUCCUUUUGCAAAACAAUUACCAUGUUGUGUUGUAAUUCCUGCUUUACUUGCCAGUUUCCCACCCAGAACUGUGAGUUCCAUGAUGGUUAAAACCAAUUCCAUCUUCCUAGAGCCUAGUGUAAGACCUGGCAUGCAACAGGUGUACAAGGCAGCCCCUUCCAAGGCCCUGCCUAGGGCUGACAGGGAUGUAGAUUGGCCCAAGGCUACCAGAUCCUUCAAUAUUUCAAAAGCACCAAGUAUUCUAAGUCCCCAGUUUUGGGAGGAAGGUGGGUGGGGAAGACAUCUACAUGCCAAAUCUGACUUGUGUGUGGAAGGAAUGAAUGAAACUAACAGUCGAGGGUCUCAUGUGCAUUAGGCACUGUGGAAGUCCAUUUGUGCAACAUCGUGUUUCCAAAGUGGUUGCAAAAAUAUCCCCGACCUCACAUGCUCUUUUGUGAGGAGACUCCUCUGCCAUGGCAUAUCAAGAGGUCCCUGCUACAACAUGGUGGAAUUAUGGGAGCUACAAUUCAAGAUGAGAUUUGGGUUCGGACACAGCCAAACCGUAUCAGCAUAGGAUUGGAAAGUCCAUCCACGUCCAUCAGUGAGAGACCAAUGCUGAGCAAAGGAAUACUGUGCAGCAUUAAGAAGAAACCAGUUGGAUCUUCAUGUUCUGAUAUAUUGAUAUAUACAACUAAGAUGCACUGAUAAAUGAGAACAGGCAACAGAAGGCGUGUACAGUGGCUGUCCGUGCUUGCACUGAAUGCAUUCCCCUACACAUACAUGGAUUGUCCCCUUGACAGUAAGAAAGAAACAGUGGCUGCUUCUGGGGAAGACACUGGGGGACUACUUACUGAAUGCUAUUUGGUACAGCUGGAAAGUUCUACAGUGUGCAUGCAAAAGAAAACUGUUCUCACGUUCGUGUCUAAAAAGCUCCCGGGUGAAUCCGGUGCGCAUCCAGGCUUGGUAACUACUAGGUGAGACGAUUCAUUGCCACCCUCCCUCGCCCUAGGAUCUUUCAACUCUAAAGCUCAGGUCCUGGGAUUAGUGAACAAACAUAUGUGUUAGUAGUGGGUAAACUGUAGGGGCCACCAGAAGUGAAGUGUCACCAAUCAGUGAUUCAGUCUGGAAAGGUAACAGUGAUGGGAAUAAGUGCUGUGGUCAUUGUGUACAUUUCAUUGUGUACAUUUCAUAAAUCCUAGCCCCUGGCCAGUGGAAACCAAGCCAGGGCUGUAUUUGACUCCUUGCAACCGUUGGCCGCCCCUGCUUUUUCAGGAGAAGGAAGGGGGUGUAUAAUGUGACACAUCAGCAAGUCAGAACAGAGAGUACCUGUGGAAUGGGUCCUGCCAGGCCUCUGUGCCCUUUUACACAUGAUGUCUUCAAGCUUCCGGUUAGUGACUGCUAACUCUCAACUCAGCCAGCAUUGAACCGGGCACCUUCAUGGGCACUGAUCCUCUGAAUCUCACACCACCAUAUCAUCCCCAUUGUACAGACAGGAAAACUGAGGCUCAGGGGUCACGUCACUCACUUUUUACCUAGAUCCUUCUGACUACAGAGCCCGCCUGCAUCCCACUAUAUGAAUGACCUGAGUGGGCUCUGCGGCAGUGGGGCCUGUUGCCCUGGGGUCCUGUGUUUCCAGCACUCUUUGCCAACUUCACCUGUCUCAGAGCCCUCAGGGAUCCAGCACCAUGGGGUUUACUUUCCCAGGUUCUCUCUGCCCCAAGUUCAGUCACUCCAGCCCAGUGUGGGGGCAGAGAUGUGGCAGAAUGAGGGCACCUUAUGGCCCCUUGAUUCGGAGGGACUCAGUGUGCGACCUUGGCAAGCACCUGAUCCUCCUUGGGCCUCGGUUUUUCCGCGAAUGCGACGGGAAUAAGAACAGUGUCUGCUGCAGGGGUCUCAUGGGGUAUCUAGUGGAAGGUGCACUGCAUUUGCUGGCACUGAGCUUGGUGCUGAGUAAAGGCUUCAUGGAUGUUUGCAGUAAUUCCUGAAAUUAAUGUUCAGGUUGUAAGUUUGCUGUAACACCAGUUAACCCUUCACUCUUUACCCCUAGCUGGUAGAAUAGUGCCUGGUACAUAGUAGGUGCUUAGUAAAUAUUUUUUGCUGAAUGAACAAAUGAACCAUUGACCUGCUGACUGGAGCUACUGCUGACAUACUGGGUGACUUUGGGCUGGUCCAGUCCUCUCACCGAGCUUCAGUUUCUGCAUCUCCCAGUGGGUGGGACCGUUUUGCCAGGCCUCAACCCACCUAGCCCAUUUCUCUUCUGCAGCAGCCUUCAGGGAUCCAUGAGCAGCUCACAGAAAGUUGCCCUUCUGUUUCCCUGAUUAUUAACCUGCAAAUUAGACAAAUCCAUUUUGGAGUGUUCAGCGUUGCCAUGGUAUCACAACGGCUUCCGCUCCCUCUCCCAGGCAGCAGAGAAGUCUCUUCCUCUUCCCUGCCCCCUACAUCCACCCCGCCCGGGAGGCAGCCCAUUGGCCUUAAAGGGCCAGUUCUGUAAGCUCCAGAGAAAGAUGCUUGCUGAAAUCACAGAAUGGAUGUUGCCUCCUGGCAAGGCGUUCAUUUGGUCACCCUUUGGGGAGGCAAAUUGUAGCUAGGAGCUGUGGAGUCAGGGUUCCCCAAGGAAGUGGAGGCUCUCCCCAAUUGCAAGUAGUGACUAGCCCUACAUUUGGAAGGCUGAACCUCAUGCUACCUGUCCCAUCCUCAUAACAAGAUGACCCCAGAAACAGGCCUGGUGGGAAAUGGAGUGAGCUCCAAAUGGGCCCAUUGACCAGAGGAACCUGGUUCAGCAAAAAGCCAGAGCAUCACAGACAUUAGGCCACUCCUGUGGGGCAUCACUUAACGUUGUUUAAAACUCCAGAUUUAAAUUAAGUCACGGUUGCCCUCAGAGGCCACUGCCGUGGGCCUUGGGGACAGAAGUUCUUAAAGGCACUGCCAUGGUAAGAGGGAAGGGCCAAAACUUUGUAUAAGUAACAAAGGUUCUGGCAAAGGUUAAUAAAUAAUCAUUGAAUGCCAGGUAUCGGCAUUACGGAAUUAAACCGUCUUAAUUGGCAUUGUCUCUGCUAGGAGAGACCCUGACAUAUGUAUGUUUUCAAAGUGUGGUGUCUGUUCAUCUUCUGUCUCUAAACAGACAAAAGCUCCCUGAGGGCAUGGUUGGCUUCUCUUAAUUCAGUGUCAUCUGCACUCUGCCACAGCACUAAGCACCUGGCUGCCCAGUCACUCUGGGUUCAUCGACUCUUAGAGAACGCCAUGGGAAGAGUAUAGGCUUACCAGUCCGACAGACUGGGUGGAAACUGCGGUAAAGAAAACUUAGGUUCUGUCUGUUAAUAGCUGUGCCUUAAGCAAGGUAUAAGUGAGGGUUCAAUGAGGGAAGAGGCCACUAGAAUGAGUGGAAUAAGGGACUUGUUAUUGGAAUUUGACCUUUCACAGUGUGGGAGAAGGAAGGUCUGGAUUACAGAGUGGAUGGUCCGAGGGGACAAGGGCCAGUCGAUCUGGAAGCCACGUGGGGAAGUUGAAGGAGGAGAAUCCAGGAAGCUUCUGCCACUGAGCAUCUGGGCUGGACACAGGGCAGAAGGAGGCAAAGGCCCAUGGAAACCCACUGGCGUCUCUGCAACCUGCUGCCACCACAUCCAAUGAGGCUGGCCUGAGAGUGAAGGCUGCUGCUCCCCCACCUCUGGAUUCUCAUGCCUCUUUUGGCCAGCUCAGACCCAGAGCUGUACUGGGGAAUGGGAUUCUGAACAACACAGCUCCAACCUGUCCACAUCAACACAGCACAGACCAACAUGGCCAAGUGUUAGGCCCUUCUGAGCCUCGGUUUCCUCGACCCAGCCGAUACCUUGCUAAUUUAUUUGAGUUCAUUGUAGAUUCUGGAUAAAUCCAGCAUCCCUUUAUGAUUAAAACUCUCACCAAAAUCUGUAUACAAGGGACAUACCUUAAUGUAAUAAAAACCAUCUAACCCAUAGCCAACAUAAUACUGAAUGGGGGAAAGCUGAAAGCAUUCCAUCUGAGAACUGGAACAAGACAAGGAUGUCCACUCUCACCACUUCUAUUCAACAUAGUAGUGGAAGUCCCAGCCAAAGCAAUCAGACAAGAGAAAGAAAUAAAGGGCAUCCAAACUGGUAAAGACAAAGUCAAACUGUCACUGUGUGCUGAUGAUAUGACUGUAUAGCUAGAAAACCCUCAAGACUCCUCCAGAAAGCUCCUAGAACUGAUAAAAUAAUUCAGCAAAGUUUUAGGACACAAAAUUAAAGUACACAAAUCAGUGGCUCUCCUGUGCACCAACAGUGGUUACUCUGAAAAUUAAAUCAAGAACACAACUCCUUUUACAAUAGCUGCAAUAAAUAAAUAAAUAAAUAAAUAAAUAAAUAAAUAAAACACUUAGAAAUAUACCUAACCAAGGAGGUGAAAGACCUCUAGAAAAAAAUCUACAAAACACUGCUGAAAAAAAUCACAGAUGACAUCCCAUGCUCAUGGAUGGGUAGGAUCA
rnacentral:lncRNA from 10 species